CAAAGUUGUGGUGUCCCUGCCCUGAAGGGCUUUUCAGCUGGUCCCCAGAGCUAAAUGUGUCGCAAGAAGAAUCCCAAACAUUUCCCGAAGCUUCCCUGGAGGAGGCAAUGGUAGCUAGCAGGCAUGCAGCUACCUCCAAAGUAGAGGCCAAAUUGUGAGGGACUUAACACGGAGGGCUCUUCAGCUGGUAUUGACAAACAAUCCUGUAUUUGGAGCUAGCCCUAAAGUUUUGAAAAACAAGAUGAGCGAAGGGAAGUGAAUGUACCCAUGCAGGCACCUCCCUCCAAAAUUGGCCAGAGUUCUCAGGUACCUACCCUGAAAUGAUCUGAGGACAGGAUCCCAAACUAAAUCUGUCUGUGGAGGUAGCCACAAAGUUUUGGCAAACAAGAUCAGCCAGCUGUGUGGCAUCCAGGGCAGCAUUUAUAGCACAGGCAGUUUGUAUGUGGUCUUGGAGAGUAGCUACAUGUGUCUUUAUGGUGUCUGGGAGGCCACAAAUAAGGGGGAGUUGUCCUUGCCAGAUCAAUCAGGGCUAGCUUUAGGGAUCUCCGUAACAGAUCCUUUUCCUGCAUCGCUUGUAUGCAGGCUGGUUUUUGAAGAGAUGCAGCCAAAUCGGAGAACCCCGAGGUCUUCAUGACAAGGGAUUCUCCUCUUUCUUGUGGGUCUAUUCCACUGACCCGAUAGGCAGCUAAAAUGAAUCUAUGCCACUAAUCCAAUAGGCAGUUAAUACGUUUAUUUAAGGUAUAAAUGCUAUCGCAGGUAUUCCUCACCAAAGUGAAGGUGAAGGUGCAGAGCUUACCAAGGAGGUGUCCCUGUCUUGGUGGAGAAGGAGCACAGAACAUCGACUGCCUCUUCUAGGGUUGGGAACGUACACCGAUGGACACAAACGAAUUAGAG